CCUUAGCGCAAUGGAUAGCACGUUGGACUUCUACUUCAAAGGUCGUAAGUUUGAAUCCUCCGAGAAUGU